rnacentral:tRNA from 1 species
UCCCAGGUGGCUCAGUGGUAAAGAAUCUGCCUGCAAUGCAGGAGACUCAGGAGACCCAGGUUCAAUCCCUGGAUGGGGAA